AGCGAACGCUGGCGGCAGGCUUAACACAUGCAAGUCGAACGGGCACUUCGGUGUCAGUGGCAGACGGGUGAGUAACGCGUGGGAACAUACCUCUUGGUUCGGAACAACACAGGGAAACUUGUGCUAAUACCGGAUAAGCCCUUACGGGGAAGAUUUAUCGCCGAGAGAUUGGCCCGCGUCUGAUUAGCUAGUUGGUGUGGUAAAAGACGCACCAAGGCGACGAUCAGUAGCUGGCUGAGAGGAUGAUCAGCCACAUUGGGACUGAGACACGGCCCAAACUCCUACGGGAGGCAGCAGUGGGGAAUAUUGGACAAUGGUCAAACGAACUGACGCAGCGACGCCGCGUGUGGGA
rnacentral:rRNA from 1 species